AGAAGAAUCUAGUAACAUUGUAUUCUUAUACGUUAUCUACUUUUGUUGUAAGAAUUCGUUUUAAUACCAAGUUCUUUGUAAGGAUUGGUUACCUUUUUAUUAUCAAACCAUUUGGAAGGAUUACAUUUGGUUAUCGUUUUAGUAUCAAGUCCUUUAGCAGGAUUAAAUUUGAGUAAAACAAAUGGAGAGGGGAUAACAAAAGCGAAUAUAUAUUCCGUCAAACUUGACGACGACUAGUAUCACAAUGAGUUCGCAGAGGAUAUAAAUUAUAUAUACGUAUGGUCUAUACAGGUAUGAGACUGGAGACACUCGUCCGUUCGAUUUAUCGUAAAUUAACAAUAUCUUGACAUCAAUAUUAUCUAUGACAAGGUGAAUAACGGGAUUGGCACGCUUUAUCUAUCAAUGCAAAUAUGAUAGGGCAACGAUUGCGAGAUAUACCUUAGGAAAACCCCAAGUUGCUUGUACAAAGACGUCUGAAUGCCUAUCCGCAUUCACACGAGAUUGCACGUGUUUUCUUAAGAGAUUGCUACGCUUGAAACCGAAUACACACGGUUUGGAGAAGUGGUGAGCGCGUUCAGGAUUCACUUCGCGAUCAAAUGCACGAUUGUGGAUUUGUCGCAGCACCUUCCCACUCAGCCGAUUUCUCGGCGGAGAUGUUCAGGUGGAAACGUGCAUGAAGCCGAAAUCAGGUUGUGACACCUAGGAGUGCGAAUCCGAUCGUGAUUUCCGCGGAAUCCUACUGUGACAACUUACCCGAAAACGCUCACCUCUCACCCGUUUCCUUCAGCAAAAGACACAGACUCGCUCUCGUUGCAUGCCUUCGUGAAUUUACUGCUUUUGACUACUACGUGGUCACACCGGAUUGGGCGUCGUUACAAAUCACAAUGCAGCAGUGCCACGGCUCGGUUGUGCUCGUGACUCCUCGGUUUGAGGCGCGUAUGCAACGAGAGUAAGUUAGGCGGUUUGACUAAGUUACUUGAUCGGUUUGAUCACUCGAUUGGAUACCGGUUUUCGCUGAAGAAAUUGUACGUGCUGUCGCGGUCGCUUCCAAACGUAGAGUGCCGGUUCUAGUUCUCGCAUCGAGCUCCUUCGAUUCAGGAUCGAGUGGGAUCGAUGCGCACGCAUCCUCUUUUGGUAGGGUGCUUCUCCUAAUUUCUCCUCCUCGUAGAAGCGAUUCCCGGUUUCUGAUAAGGGAUACCCCUUGACUAGCUCAUAGUACGCGCGUCGAUCUCCCUUGAUCGGAUAUCGAGUGGGAAUCGAGGCGCACGCGUGUCAUAUGCCGCGACUAUCCCGAAUUCUCCUCUUCGCGAAUAAAAGGAGGAUACAAGUCUUCCAUGAGUGGGGAUCGCCCCUUAAUCGUUUAUGUAGUUAUAUGUAACCAGCACGGAUACAAUCAUUUUUUUUUUAUUUUUUUUAUUUUUUAUGUAAUAAAAAGAAUAUUUGUGAAUAUAUGUUUGUGAAAAUCAAUGCCCACCUCCCUUAUCUCCAGUAUUCUCAUCGCCAACGAAUGAUGUCACCUCUACCGUUUCUUUAAUAUCUAGUCCUUGAGAAAUUGUAUCGCGUAAAUAAAAGAUUUGCUGCUGGAUUGUAAUUUGCAAACUUUGCGUUUUUGGAUCUUCUGCUCGAGGCCAUCAUAGCGAGACGUUCCUACCGAUAUCGCGCGCUCUAUAAAGAUUGUAAUGUAAUAUUAUAUGUUGCACGGGGCAUGAGUGCGAGGAAGAAAAUACUCGGGCGCGAGAGAGAGGGAACCCGCGGGGCCCGCAACGACGCUCCCACUCCUGUGUGCGAAGAAGACGGUGUUACGUAUACAGAAACUCGCUGUUUGUUUCCGAAGCUCGCGUUCAUCAAUUUUAUUUUAUCUACCCUCCUGGAAUUUGGAGCUCGGUCUCCCUGGAGUGCAUCCUGCAGCUGCAUAUUCUUAACAUCAUCUUCGACUUGCGUUGUGUGGGAAGACUUCUUAUCUACCCUUUCCCAGGGAACGCAGCUGCUCACCUCAGAGCCACGAAAAUCCUAACCGUCAGAUUUCCAAAUAUAGAAAUCACCGACGGAUCCCCACCAACAUUUAGGGGUAUAUAAACCCACGAUUUUCGUUGCUCUGCGGGAUUAGAACGAUAGAGUUACGUAGAGUCACAUCACGUCCAUCGUUGCAGAGUGUGCUUUAGUGAGAUCGGGCUUCAGUUUCCCUUUCGAUCAAGUUAACCUUAUAGAUCCGCGAAGACGGUUUUCAUCUAUUACGGCAUUUAGAAUCACACUCGACCCCCGCAUCGCCAGUGCGUUAACACCGUGCAACAAUUAGGCAAUUAAAUUCAACGUUUACUACACACGACCGCGAUAACACAACACUGCACAUUUGUAACUUAGUAUAGUUAUUCUGAAUAUAUAUUCUUUUGUGUAAAUUCAAAGUUUCCUAAGUCAAUUACUAAACCUUCACGAUAUAACAAGCAAUCCUAGCCUGUGUAACGAUCCCACAACAUAAUAACUUUGCCGCUCGAGUUAUUAUUCAAUUAAAUUAAUAAGUUGCGAGGCUUUAUCCGCGACGCGUAGUAUUCAUCAACGAUACGAUUUAAGCUCAGUGUAUUUAACCCGAAUUCCCUAAUUCAACCUAUCCUGCGGUUACCCUUUACUGGGAGAUACCGAUUCCUGCUAGCUAUCUGACUUCACGCUAGAGUCGCUGCACUUUUCCAACAACUUCACAAUUGGAACCUUACCCUACGGUUACCCUUUACUGGGAGAUACCGAUUCCUGCAGCUAUCUGACUUAGCGUCAGAGGCGUCUGCAUUUGUCUCCAAUAACCAAGACAACCAAACACCCAACCCUACGGUUACCCUUCACUGGGAGAUACCGAUUCCUGCAACUAUCUGACUUCACGUAAGAGUCGUCUGCAUUGU